rnacentral:rRNA from 1 species
AUUGAACGCUGGCGGCAGGCCUAACACAUGCAAGUCGGGCGGUAACACAGGGAGCUUGCUCCUAGGUGACGAGCGGCGGACGGGUGAGUAAUGUCUGGGAAACUGCCUGAUGGAGGGGGAUAACUACUGGAAACGGUAGCUAAUACCGCAUAACGUCGCAAGACCAUAGAGGGGGACCUUCGGGCCUCUUGCCAUCAGAUGUGCCCAGAUGGGAUUAGCUAGUAGGUGGGGUAAUGGCUCACCUAGGCGACGAUCCCUAGCUGGUCUGAGAGGAUGACCAGCCACACUGGAACUGAGACACGGUCCAGACUCCUACGGGAGGCAGCAGUGGGGAAUAUUGCACAAUGGGCGCAAGCCUGAUGCAGCCAUGCCGCGUGUAUGAAGAAGGCCUUCGGGUUGUAAAGUACUUUCAGCGAGGAGGAAGGCAUUAAGGUUAAUAACCUUGGUGAUUGACGUUACUCGCAGAAGAAGCACCGGCUAACUCCGUGCCAGCCGCCGCAGUAAUAC